rnacentral:misc_RNA from 1 species
GAAAAACCCAUUACUGAGCAGCUUUCCAGGAAUCAGCUCCAAUCUAUACUCACAUCCAAAACGCCGCCCUUUCAGGAUGUUGUCGUACAACAAGCUUUACUUAUGAUAGUGGAACCCAUUUUUGAGCCUAGGUUUUCAUCAAAGUCUCAUGCUUUUCGCCCUGGAAGGAAUCCCCAUACUGUUAUUAGGACCAUUAGAAGUAAUUUUGCUGGUUAUUUGUGGUUUCUGAAAGGUGAUAUUACUGAGGUUUUUCAUAACGUUGAUGUUGAUGUUGUUAUGGCUAGUCUCGAAAAGGCUGUCAAGGAUAAGAAGGUGUUGAACUUGAUAAAGUCAGGGUUGAAUGCUCGUCGAUGUGGAGAAGAGGGUGAAGAAGAAGAAGAUAGCAGGAAGAGAAAGAAGGGGCGGACAAAAAAGAGGAUUUUAAAUGAGAAUGAGCCCAAGCCAGACCCUUAUUGGUUAAGGACAUUCUUUGAGUUUGCUCCACAGGAGGCUUCUAAGAUACCCAGUUAUGGUGGUUGUGGAAUUCUUAGUCCUUUGUUGGCUAAUGUAUGUCUUAA